CUCACGUUAGUACACCAUUUCAGCGCGUAAAAUAUGCAGCGCGUCGAGCGUGGUUGUACAAUGAUUGAUUUUUUCCCAUAGCCUUUGGUCCUGGACGGUCUUAUACUCUUGUACCAGCAUUCAGUACCCGCCGGUACGCUUUGCGAUGGUGUCGUUUCCCAUAUUUGCUCUUGUCUUUACGUGCUCGCGUCAUUGUAAAGUCUGAGUUAAUUAGUUUUUCUUUCUUCUUUUUUUUU